rnacentral:rRNA from 1 species
UACGUAGGGUGCGAGCGUUGUCCGGAAUUAUUGGGCGUAAAGGGCUCGUAGGCGGUCUGUUGCGUCAGGAGUGAAAACUCGGGGCUUAACCCCGAGCCUGCUUCUGAUACGGGCAGACUAGAGGUAGGUAGGGGAGAAUGGAAUUCCCGGUGUAGCGGUGAAAUGCGCAGAUAUCGGGAGGAACACCGGUGGCGAAGGCGGCAUCCUGGACCAAUAUUGACGCUGAGUGAGCGAAAGCCAGGGGAGCAAACGGG